rnacentral:rRNA from 1 species
AUUGAACGCUGGCGGCAUGCCUUACACAUGCAAGUCGAACGGUAACAGGUCUUCGGAUGCUGACGAGUGGCGAACGGGUGAGUAAUACAUCGGAACGUGCCCGAGAGUGGGGGAUAACGAGGCGAAAGCUUUGCUAAUACCGCAUACGAUCUCAGGAUGAAAGCAGGGGACCGCAAGGCCUUGCGCUCACGGAGCGGCCGAUGGCAGAUUAGGGAGUGGGUGGGAGAAAAGCUUACCAAGCCGACGAUCUGUAGCUGGGCUGAGAGGACGAGCAGCCACACUGGGACUGAGACACGGCCCAGACUCCUACGGGAGGCAGCAGUGGGGAAUUUUGGACAAUGGGCGCAAGCCUGAUCCAGCCAUGCCGCGUGCAGGAUGAAGGCCUUCGGGUUGUAAACUGCUUUUGUACGGAACGAAAAGACUCUGGUUAAUACCUGGGGUCCAUGACGGUACCGUAAGAAUAAGCACCGGCUAACUACGUGCCAGCCGCCGCCGUAA